rnacentral:rRNA from 1 species
UACGUAGGUGGCAAGCGUUGUCCGGAUUUAUUGGGUUUAAAGGGUGCGUAGGUGGCCCUGUAAGUCAGUGGUGAAAUAUCUCAGCUUAACUGAGAGGGUGCCAUUGAUACUGCAGGGCUUGAGUACAGAUGAGGUAGGCGGAAUUGACGGUGUAGCGGUGAAAUGCAUAGAUAUCGUCAAGAACACCGAUAGCGAAGGCAGCUUAGCAGGCUGUAACUGACACUGAGGCACGAAAGUGUGGGGAUCAAACAGG